rnacentral:misc_RNA from 1 species
CUCAGAAUUGUAAUGACUGCACCAAGUCCUUCUACCGCAACUGUAGAUUCUACAAAUGAGCUGCUAGACGUCAUGGAUAGCAAUGUGAAAAACGCAUCUGCUUCCUCUAUAGGAAGUGAGAUAUCGGCUUCAGGACUUAAGCGUUCAUCAGACUUAGCUCCCGCAUCUGCAGCUGGUGCGGAGAAGGCGAGCGCCACAAGUGAGGCAGCUCUGGAGCCCUCUACAGGGCACAUGGAAAACUCUUAUUUUACCAGCGCAAUGGCUCACGGCAACGUUGAUGCUGUACGAAAGGAAAUGCAAACUCAGGAAAAGAUAAUUGCCACUCUACAGCGGGACAACGAAUCACUCCUGAGAGAGAAGAAGGAAAUUCUCAGUCGAUUCAAGCGGCUGGAGCAUGAUUUCGAGCACCUAGAAGCAAAGCACAGCUUGCUUCUCAGUGCACAGCAGGACUUUGCGGCACGGUCAAGCAUGCAUACAGCAAAUGACUCUGCCAAGAUCGUGAAUCUCCAAGCACAAGUCGAAGAGCUUCAAACCAAUUUGGAGACGGAAAAAAGGCGAUGUGCUCUACUGCUCCAAGAAAGGAACGACCUGGCUCAGUCUAAAAGCGAUACUCCUAGUCUUGUCGGCAGCGCCGAAAUCACUAAUGUGGCUGUGGUGAGGGAGCAGCAAGGCAGGAGCGAAGAUAUGGUGGCGAAGUUGCGUGAGUCUCAACGUAUUCACAGCAUUCAGAAAAGCACCAUCGAUGCAUUACACUCAGAGGUUACCCGCUUAGAGUCUGAGAGGAAGGUCUCACAUAGCCGAGAGAACAACUUGUUGCGCGAAGUGGACAGCCUGCGAACGCAAGUGCGGGAUUUGGAAUCGGCUCUGCAGCAGAAGAAAGGGAGCAUCAGGGAACUUAUCAGCAGCUGCCAGGCGGGCAGUGCCAACGCACAGCGCCUUAAGAAGCAAGAGAGUCGGAUUCGUUUGUUAGAGAAAGCCUUGCUAGAAAAGGACGAGUUCACUAAGAGAGCAAUGGAAGAGCUCCGCGCAGAAACAAAGAAAGUGUGUGAGCGCUAUCAAAGUACCAUUGCUGAGUUGCGGCAGCGUUUGGAAGUCCCCAAGGAUGAUCCCGAGCUGCGAAGACGUAUUAGCACUCUCGAAAGGGAGAACCUCGACCUUCGUGGUGGACUUGGAGGUGCCUCUGUUUCGUUAGCCGUAGAAAGUGGCCAACUGGUGCAGAAGAUAGCCACUGAGCCCAAGCACCAUACGGACGUGACUAACAAGACCGACAAACCCGCCGGGCAGGCUCUUAAGGCGCAUGGCUCUCACGAGCUUGAAGUUACACACCUUCAAUCCGUCACUGAGCGACUCCGCGCAGAAAUAUGCGAACACAAGCAACGAAACAUCACGCUUCAGAGCAAACUCGACAGCGUCCACGCUGAGUGGGAUGCUAGACUUGCCGAGAUGAAAACCAAUUUCGCUCUUCAAAUACAGACCCUGCGAUCUGCCCAUAAUGAAGAGCUGAGUCGCCUUGAGGCCAGUCAUCAAUCUCAGCUGCAAGAGAUUUCGAAGUGCUCAAAGGCAGGUAGAGAUAGCUUGGCAUCCAGGCUCUCUCGAGUUGUCGAAGAAAAGGGAUAUGAUGCCUCCCUUAUUGCCAUUGGGGAGAGGCUCUGCUUUUUGGAGAAGCUGUAUUGUCAAAAAGAGGAAGAAAAGACGCACGAGCUUCUAGAAAUGAAGCGCGUAGCCGAGCUGGAGAUGAAGAUUCAAAAGGAGAAGACUGAUUUACUGCUAGAGCAGAAAAACACAC